rnacentral:rRNA from 1 species
GGCGGACGGGUGAGUAAUACUUAGGAAUCUGCCCAUUAGUGGGGGACAACUCGAGGAAACUCGAGCUAAUACCGCAUACGCCCUACGGGGGAAAGCGGAGGACCUUUCGGGGCUUCACGCUAAUGGAUGAGCCUAAGUCGGAUUAGCUUGUUGGUGAGGUAAAGGCUCACCAAGGCGACGAUCCGUAGCUGGUCUGAGAGGACGAUCAGCCACACUGGGACUGAGACACGGCCCAG